rnacentral:rRNA from 1 species
AACGAACGUUGGCGGCAUGCCUAACACAUGCAAGUCGAACGAGACCUUCGGGUCUAGUGGCGCACGGGUGCGUAACGCGUGGGAACCUGCCCUUAGGUUCGGAAUAACUCCCCGAAAGGGGUGCUAAUACCGGAUAAUGUCUUCGGACCAAAGAUUUAUCGCCUUUGGAUGGGCCCGCGUUGGAUUAGCUAGUUGGUAGGGUAAAAGCCUACCAAGGCGACGAUCCAUAGCUGGUCUGAGAGGAUGAUCAGCCACACUGGGACUGAGACACGGCCCAGACUCCUACGGGAGGCAGCAGUGGGGAAUAUUGGACAAUGGGCGAAAGCCUGAUCCAGCAAUGCCGCGUGAGUGAUGAAGGCCUUAGGGUUGUAAAGCUCUUUUACCCGGGAUGAUAAUGACAGUACCGGGAGAAUAAACUCCGGCUAACUCCGU